AACUGUUUGAACAAUUGAAUUUAUGAUCUAGAGACAUGAAGAUGCAUUCACAGAAUGGAAGCCAGUGCAGUUAACAUGGUAUUGCGCAAUCACAGGGGAGGCCAAGCUCGCUGCAGCCUUACCGAGAAGCCUUUCGCUGCAGCGCUUUUUGGAUAUCCAACUCCGCCCAUCCAAGUCGGCCAUUUUGAUGACGUCAUGCGACUAUGAGCUUUGUUAGGCGCAAACAAAACUUUACUGCCCAUAGCAAAUCGUAAAACGAACGAUGUCGGUAAGUUAAAAAUACAUAAUUUUAUGUUCAUAGGCCUAACAAUAUUACUUUGUUGACCCUUCUGGAUGAAAUAUAUUAUGUUAUUUGAUGUGACGAUCUAGUUUAUUGUUUUCAUUAGUUUUUUGCAUGAUAAGGUAGUACUUUUGUAGGCUACCAUCAAUUUAAUGUUAGCUAGCGCCAGGCCCUGUUUAGUUUUAGUUAUAGAUGUUUCUUGUGAAAUUGAGUUUAUGCAAUAUCCAUCCCGUGAUGUCACGGGAUGAACAUUACAGAACAUUAUCAUUUUUGUGUAAAGAAAGUAUGCAAGAUUAGUAAGAGUCCAACAGUUAGAGUGAAAAUUAUUUCGGCUUGAGAAAUAUAACGUUAUUAGCCUGCUAACGUUAAUUACACAUAUCAGUAUACUUAGCAGAGUUGCUAGCGGUUUAAUUUGUAACACAAUGUCCAUUUACAAAAGUUUUUGACUAUGUUGGCGAACAGUACAGCUUGUUGUCAUAGAUGAUAAUCAUUAAUAUUUUUUAAAACUGUACAUGCUUGACCAGUAAAGGCCAGCUUGAUGAAUCUUCAAAUGUUAAGGGCAUGUUUAAGCCUUCUUAGAUAUAUAUUACACUAUGGACUAUCUACUAAAUGACAGUCUGCCUUACAAACUUUGUUUUUUUUAUUUGUUUGUUUGUUUGUUUUUUUGUGCCAGAUCUGUCAGUGUGCAGACCAGACAUUUGGGGCCUACCCCAUUUAAGACAUCUGCUUGCCAGAUCAGGCAUCACAGAGUCACAGGUUGACUAUGUGCUCGAUGCCAGAAGAUCAGAAACCGAGAUUAUUGGGACAAUUGGCACUACCAACUUAACACAGCAAGACUUCCAGUCACUUGGUUUGCAGCACAACUUGGAAGCAACAAUUGCUAACAGCUGCAUGGAGCUCAUGUGUGACAUGGCCUGGUGGAAGAAGAAGGAUGUGUAUGCAGCGGAUGCCUAUGUCGUUGCCACUUGGCAUGCACCAAGUUUUCCAGGACACUUUUCCUAAUUUACCGAGCACCAUGACAAGAAUUGAUGAAGCAGUAUGCUGGAUACGGGACAACAUGUCUCUUUUCUGUGGACAUGUUGAACUGCCCAGCAUAUUGUCCAUGACAGCAGUUCUUUCAGAACAUCGCCAAUGAUGACGACAUCCAUGAUUCAAGAGAAUGCCUCCCUUUUGUUUUUGAAUAUCAAGAAGAGUACACAGUUCUUUUUUUAUUCUUGUUCAGCUGUGUCGGCAAUGUUUAACACCCCUACCCUUUCCCCUUAGCCAGAGGACGGGCACCACCCCUGGCCCACCUAC